rnacentral:rRNA from 1 species
AGAGUUUGAUCCUGGCUCAGGAUGAACGCUAGCGGCAGGCCUAACACAUGCAAGUCGAGGGGUGACAGGAGAGCUUGCUCUCGCUGACGACCGGCGCACGGGUGAGUAACGCGUAUGCAACCUACCUUUAACAGGGGGAUAGCCCGAAGAAAUUCGGAUUAAUACCCCAUACAACUAUAGAUAAGCAUUUAUUUAUAUUUAAAACUCCGGUGGUUAAAGAUGGGCAUGCGUGACAUUAGAUAGUUGGUAAGGUAACGGCUUACCAGGUCUACGACGUCUAGGGGGUCUGAGAGGAUGGUCCUCCACACUGGUACUGAGACACGGACCAGACUCCUACGGGAGGCAGCAGUGAGGAAUAUUGCGCAAUGGAGGAAACUCUGACGCAGCCAUGCCGCGUGCAGGAUGACAGCCCUACGGGUUGUAAACUGCUUUUAAACAGGAGGAAUUUUCCGCACGUGUGCGGGAUUGACGGUACUGUACGAAUAAGCACCGGCUAACUCCGUGCCAGCAGCCGCGGUAAUACGGAGGGUGCAAGCGUUAUCCGGAUUUAUUGGGUUUAAAGGGUGCGUAGGCGGAGUAAUAAGUCAGUGGUGAAAUCCUGCAGCUUAACUGUAGAAUUGCCAUUGAUACUGUUAUUCUUGAGUUCGAUUGAGGUAGGCGGAAUGUGUAAUGUAGCGGUGAAAUGCUUAGAUAUUACACAGAACACCGAUUGCGUAGGCAGCUUACUAAGUCGAUACUGACGGAGGCACGAAAGCGUGGGGAGCGAACAGGAUUAGAUACCCUGGUAGUCCACGCCGUAAACUAUGAUCACUAGCUGUUGGCGAUACAUCGAUCAGCGGCAAAGCGAAAGCAUUAAGUGAUCCACCUGGGGAGUACGGUCGCAAGAUUGAAACUCAAAGGAAUUGACGGGGGCCCGCACAAGCGGUGGAACAUGUGGUUUAAUUCGAUGAUACGCGAGGAACCUUACCUGGGCUUAAAUGCAGAUUGACGUUUCGGGAAACCGGAAUUCCCUUCGGGGCGAUUUGCAAGGUGCUGCAUGGUUGUCGUCAGCUCGUGCCGUGAGGUGUCGGGUUAAGUCCCAUAACGAGCGCAACCCCUAUCGUUAGUUGCCAGCGGAUAAUGCCGGGGACUCUAACGAAACUGCCGGUGUAAACCGAGAGGAAGGUGGGGAUGACGUCAAAUCAGCACGGCCCUUAUGUCCAGGGCUACACACGUGUUACAAUGGUCGGUACAGAGGGCAGCUACCUGGUGACAGGAUGCUAAUCUCGAAAGCCGGUCUUAGUUCGGAUCGAAGUCUGCAACUCGACUUCGUGAAGCUGGAAUCGCUAGUAAUCGCGUAUCAGCAACGACGCGGUGAAUACGUCCCGGG